rnacentral:rRNA from 1 species
GACGUAGGGCGCGAGCGUUGUCCGGAUUUAUUGGGCGUAAAGAGCUCGUAGGCGGCUUGUCGCGUCGUCCGUGAAAACUUGGGGCUCAACCCCCAAGCUUGCGGUCGAUACGGGCAGGCUAGAGUUCGGUAGGGGAGACUGGAAUUCCUGGUGUAGCGGUGAAAUGCGCAGAUAUCAGGAGGAACACCGGUGGCGAAGGCGGGUCUCUGGGCCGAUACUGACGCUGAGGAGCGAAAGCGUGGGGAGCAAACAGG